GAGAUGCAGCUCAGUGGUAGAGCAUUUGCCUAGCAUGCAUAAGGCCCUAUGUUCAAUCCCCAGAACACA
rnacentral:tRNA from 1 species